CUUCGGGAUAAGGAGUGCCCUCAUAAGGUGAAAGAACUUGCUUCUGGAGCUGAAGAGGGUUGCAGUGACUAGGUAGCCGCGACUGUUUACUAAAAACACAGGACUCUGCUAAGUCGUAAGACGACGUAUAGGGUCUGACGCCUGCCCAAUGCUGGAAGGUUAAGAGGAGGUGUUAGCUUCGGCGAAGCUCCGAAUUGAAGCCCCAGUGAAUGGCGGCCGUAACUAUGACGGUCCUAAGGUAGCGAAGUUCCUUGUCGGGUAAGUUCCGACGCGCACGAAUGGCGUAACGACUGCCCCAUUGUCUCAACAUAGGGCUCGGUGAAAUUGUAGUCGCGGUGAAGAUGCCGCGUAACCGCACAAGGACGGAAAGACCCCGUGAACCUUUACUGCAGCCUGAUAUUGGGCUCUGACACAUUAUGUGUAGCAUAGGUGGGAGGCUUUGAAGCGGGCACGCUAGUGUUCGUGGAGCCACAAUGUGAAAUACCACUCUUAAUGUGUUAGUGUUCUAACUUGGUGCCUUGAAUCAGGGCCAAGAACAGUUUCAGGUGGGCAGUUUGGCUGGGGCGGUCUCCUCCUAAAUAGUAACGGAGGAGUCCGAUGGCUUCCUCAGGCUGGUUGGUAAUCAGCCGUAGAGCAUAAAGGUAUAAGGAAGCUUAACUGUGAGACAUAUAAGUCGAGCAGGUGUGAAAGCAGGGCUUAGUGAUCCGGUGAAUUCCGAAUGGAAGGGUCAUCGCUUAACAGAUAAAAGGUACUCCGGGGAUAACAGGCUGAUCUCCCCCAAGAGUCCAUAUCGACGGGGAGGUUUGGCACCUCGAUGUCGGCUCAUCACAUCCUGGGGCUGAAGAAGGUCCCAAGGGUUGGGCUGUUCGCCCAUUAAAGUGGUACGUGAGCUGGGUUCAGACCGUCGUGAGACAGGUCGGUCCCUAUCCGGUGUGGUUGUAGGAUACUUGAAGAGGUCUUUCCCUAGUACGAGAGGAUUGGGAAGGACGAAGCUCUGGUGCACCAGUUGUCUUGCUAAAGGCAUAGCUGGGUAGCUAACUUCGGAAAGGAUAAACGCUGAAAGCAUCUAAGCGUGAAGCCCUCUCUAAAACUAGGUAUCCCAAUUAGGGUCGUGGGAGACUACCACGUUGAUAGGCAGUAGCUGUAAGCACGGUAACGUGUUCAGGCGAGCUGUACUAAUAACCCGAACGGCUUGAUUCU
rnacentral:rRNA from 1 species